ACACGGGGGGGGCGAGCGUUAUUCGGAAUUACUGGGCGUAAAGGGCACGUAGGCGGCCUGAUAAGUGUGAAGUGAAAUGCUUGGGCUCAACCUGGGACUUGCUUUGCAUACUGUCAGGCUAGAGUCCGGGAGAGGCUGGUGGAAUUCCUGGUGUAGGGGUGAAAUCCGUAGAUAUCAGGAGGAACACCGUUGGAGAAGUCGGCCAGCUGGACCGGGACUGACGCUGAGGUGCGAAAGCGUGGGGAGCAAACAGGAUUAGAAACCCCAGUAGUCC
rnacentral:rRNA from 1 species